GGUUCACGUUAGCAUAGACGCUUUUUGGCGUACUGUUUCGCGUAAGAAUCGAAAAUUUCAACUUUUUUUCGAUAAUUAUUGAUAUUGAGUGUCCAGAGAAUAUUUCUGCAGUGGUUUGGUUCUGAUCGGGUGAAAAACCUAGGACUAGUUCGCAAAAGUAGGUUUCAGAUAUAACUCGAUUUUGCGAGAAAACGAUGCGCCGUAGAGCAAAAAAAGGCGGUGUGCACUUUUGUUCGGGCAAACCCAAGGAUUGCAACGAUGCCAUGUUUUUGAGUCUACGACAAACGGUUUACGAAUGCGGGCCAAAAAUGUCUGAAAUUUUUGUUUUUUGCGCUGUAGCGCCCCCGUUAGGCCGAUUGGGUCGAGACUUUGAUAGGUUCUCCCCAAAUUGAGCUCUACAAUCUGGCCAAGUUUCAAGUCUCUAGGCCUUACGGUUUGGUCUGCACGAUCAGUUUUAGCGGAGAAUAAUAAUAAUAAUAAUAAUAAUAAAAAUCUGAGCAAUUUCAAUAGGGUUUCAGCACUUCGUGCUUGAACCCCUAAUAAU
ensembl:lncRNA